rnacentral:rRNA from 1 species
AGCGAACGCUGGCGGCAGGCCUAACACAUGCAAGUCGAGCGCUGUAGCAAUACGGAGCGGCAGACGGGAGAGUAACACGUGGGAACGUACCCUUUGGUUCGGAACAACCCAGGGAAACUUGGGCUAAUACCGGAUAAGCCCUCACGGGGAAAGAUUCAUCGCCGAAGGAUCGGCCCGCGUCUGAUUAGCUAGUUGGUGGGGUAAUGGCCCACCAAGGCGACGAUCAGUAGCUGGUCUGAGAGGAUGAUCAGCCUCACUGGGACUGAGACACGGCCCAGACUCCUACGGGAGGCAGCAGUGGGGAAUAUUGGACAAUGGGCGCAAGCCUGAUCCAGCCAUGCCGCGUGGGUGAUGAAGGCCCUAGGGUUGUAAAGCCCUUUCGGCGGGGAAGAUAAUGACGGUACCCGCAGAAGAAGCCCCGGCUAACUUCGUGCCAGCCGCCGCGGUAAUAC